rnacentral:rRNA from 1 species
AUCGGGCAUAAAACAUACUACCGAAACUGUGGAAUAGAAAUAUUGGUAGGAGAGCAUUCCAAACCGCAAAGAAGGUUCGUCGUGAGAGGGGCUGGAGCGUUUGGAAGAGCAAAUGUAGGCAUAAGUAACGAUAAUGCGGGUGAGAAACCCGCACACCGAAAGACUAAGGUUUCCCGGUCAACGUUAAUCGGAUCGGGGUUAGUCGGGACCUAAGGAUAACCCUGUUUAAAAGGGGAUUUCGAUGGACAGCCGGUUAAUAUUCCGGCACUAGUAAUAUGAGCGAAGUGUGGACACAGGAGUGACAAGUACGCGUACUGACGGAAUAGUACGUUUAAGGGUGUAGAUAUAGGAACUAUAGGCAAAUCCGUAGUUUUUGUCGAACCUGAAAGUACCGCAAUCCUUCGGGAGAGUGGAUAGUUACUGUAAUCAGACUGUCAAGAAAAAGCGCUAAGCAUAUUGUAUUACCACCCGUACCGCAAACCGACACAGGUAGUCGAGAAGAGAAUUCUAAGGUGCUCGAGUGAUUCAUGGCUAAGGAACUAGGCAAAAUUGUCCUGUAACUUCGGGAGAAAGGACCCCUCGCGAGAGGGCGCAGAGAAUCGGCCCAGGCGACUGUUUAACAAAAACACAUGGCUUUGCAAAAUAGAAAUAUGAGGUAUAAGGCCUGACACCUGCCCGGUGCCGGAAGGUUAAGAGGAGAUGUCAUCGCAAGAGAAGCAUUGAAUUGAAGCCCCGGUAAACGGCGGCCGUAACUAUAACGGUCCUAAGGUAGCGAAAUUCCUUGUCGGGUAAGUUCCGACCUGCACGAAUGGUGUAACGAUCUGGGCACUGUCUCAGCCAUGAGCUCGGUGAAAUUGUAGCAACGGUGAAGAUGCCGUUUACCCGCAACGGGACGGAAAGACCCCGUGAACCUUCACUACAACUUAGUAUUGAGUUUGGAUAAAUGAUGUGUAGGAUAGGUGGGAGACUGUGAAGCAGGUACGCUAGUAUCUGUGGAGUCAUUGUUGAAAUACCACCCUUUAUUUAUUUGAAUUCUAAUCCCUGAACAGGGAAACAGUGCUUGGUGGGUAGUUUGACUGGGGUGGUCGCCUCCAAAAAAGUAACGGAGGCUUUCAAAGGUACCCUCAGCCCGGUUGGUAACCGUGCGUAGAGUGCAAUAGCAUAAGGGUGCUUGACUGUGAGACAAACAAGUCGAGCAGGUAGGAAACUAGGAUAUAGUGAUCCGGUGGUUCUGUAUGGAAAGGCCAUCGCUCAAAGGAUAAAAGGUACUCCGGGGAUAACAGGCUGAUCACUUCCAAGAGCUCAUAUCGACGAAGUGGUUUGGCACCUCGAUGUCGGCUCGUCACAUCCCGGGGCUGGAGAAGGUCCCAAGGGUUCGGCUGUUCGCCGAUUAAAGUGGCACGCG